rnacentral:rRNA from 1 species
UACGGGGGGGGCAAGCGUUGUUCGGAAUUACUGGGCGUAAAGGGCGCGUAGGCGGCCUGCUAAGUCGGAUGUGAAAUCCCCCGGCUCAACCGGGGAACUGCAUCCGAUACUGGCGGGCUCGAAUCCGGGAGAGGGAUGUGGAAUUCCAGGUGUAGCGGUGAAAUGCGUAGAUAUCUGGAGGAACACCGGUGGCGAAGGCGGCAUCCUGGACCGGCAUUGACGCUGAGGCGCGAAAGCCAGGGGAGCAAACGGG